CCUACGGGGGGCUGCAGUGGGGAAUAUUGCGCAAUGGGGGGAACCCUGACGCAGCGACGCCGCGUGAAGGAAGAAGGUCUUCGGAUUGUAAACUUCUUUGACUGGGGACGAAGGAAGUGACGGUACCCAGAUAACAAGCCACGGCUAACUACGUGCCAGCAGCCGCGGUAAUACGUAGGUGGCAAGCGUUGUCCGGAAUUACUGGGUGUAAAGGGCGUGUAGGCGGGGAUGCAAGUCAGAUGUGAAAAACCAUGGCUCAACUGUGGUCUUGCAUCUGAAACUGUAUUUCUUGAGUACUGGAGAGGGAAGUGGAAUUCCUAGUGUAGCGGUGAAAUGCGUAGAGAUUAGGAGGAACACCAGUGGCGAAGGCGGCUUCCUGGCCAGAGACUGACGCUGAGGCGCGAAAGCGUGGGGAGCAAACAGGAUUAGAUACCCGGGUAGUC
rnacentral:rRNA from 1 species